GAGACUCUGUGCGCGUGCAUAUCAAUAAGCGGAGGAAAAGAAACUAACAAGGAUUCCCCUAGUAACGGCGAGUGAAGCGGGAAGAGCUCAAAUUUGAAAUCUUAAAGGGUUUCCCUUGACGAAUUGUAGUUUAUAGAAGUGUUUUCUGUUAGGAGUUUCGGUAAAAGUUCUUUGGAAUAGGACAUCAUAGAGGGUGAGAAUCCCGUAUUUGACCGUUACUUUCCUAGCUUUGUGAUACACUUUCAAAGAGUCGGAUUGUUUGGGAAUGCAGUCCAAAAUGGGUGGUAAAUUUCAUCUAAAGCUAAAUAUUGGCGAGAGACCGAUAGCGAACAAGUACCGUGAGGGAAAGAUGAAGAGAACUUUGAAAAGAGAGUUAAACAGUACGUGAAAUUGUCAAAAGGGAAGCGUUUGACACCAGUGUUGUUUAGUUGAAAAUCAAUUCAAUAAUUUUUGAUUUUAAGUAGUAUUGACUUCAUCAGCUUGCUGCUUUCUUUUCAGGAAUUAUUGAAUGCACUUUUCAGUUAACAAGUCAACAUCAAUUUCUUUUGUUGUAAAAGGGUAAGAGGAAGGUGGCUUACGCUUCGGCGUAAGUGUUUAUAGCCUUUUACCUCUGCAAUCGGAGAGAUUGAGGACAGCAGCGUAGACUCUUCGAGGUUAGAUACACUUGUGCUAAGCUAUAGCCUUGUAUAGACAACUUGUUGACUAUGCUCAGUCAUGUAGCUUACUCGCUUGUGCUAUUUUACCUACGCUUAGGAUGUUGACAGCAGUAUAGACUGU
rnacentral:rRNA from 1 species